AAAGUUGAGAAAGAUGAGUGAGAACAAAUCGAGUCUCUAAAAAGAGAAAAAGUGGACAGCGGAAGAACAUUUAAUCCUCAAUGGACGGACUCGUUUCUGUUCAUACUUCCCACUGCAGCACUAAACCAGCGUCUCAUGAGCUCAGAACCCGUUGAAACGCCGCCAUGAGGCGCGAUGAGCUAUGAGGAUGAGAACGGCCCUCCUGCAUUAACGCCCAGGUUUAACAUCCUGGCAGGAUUCUCCCACUGAGCAAACAAGUGGAGGAGUGGAUUUAUGUAUAUUCUAAAAAAAACUGUUAAAAUGUAAAAAGCAGCCCUACUUGUAAUUAGUCAAUUGAGAGAACAUUACAUAAGUACAUAUAUUUAUAUUUGUAGUCUUCAUAUAUGUUCUUUUGUUACAUAUUGUCAGAGUUUUUGAAUCGUACUGAAUUAAUUUGAUUUGUUAGUUGUGUAUUGAUUUAUAUACAGAUGUUGAUACAACUCUAUCCCUCUAUUUAAUCACACUAAAUAGUCCCAUUAUGAUCUCGCGGACUAUUGCUUCUAGAAAUUUUCACAUUUUAAUUGAAUAUCCCUGGUUUACAGAGAAGCGCCACAAUGACCUUUAGGGUAAACACAUUCCUUAAGGCAAAUGGGUAAAAAUGGAUUGCGGUGUAUUGUGUACUGCAUCACGUGGAGGAUUCCCAGCUCUCUACACAACCUCCCGGCGUGUGGGGACAAACUAAUACAGAAAGGCAUGUCGCUCUGUUUUUUUUUUUCCUGUAAUGGUGACAAACUAUUGGCCAGUUCUCCCUCGUACCUCUUCCAUGCGCCAAAAAACAUGACAGUUGUGUCCCACUGGGAAAAUGCCCGGUGUGCCAGAUGGAGCCCUCUGGUUCGUCCAGUCUGCUCUUUCUGAAUGUUUGCCCUGCUGCCUCCUGUCCAAGGUCUUCCUCUCAGUCUCGUCCCCCCCGUCAAUGUCUGUAGCUCUGUUCCCAAAGGACUGUCCAGACCUCCCAUCCAGACAUAUCUCCUCUGUCCUGGCUCAUCCUGUCCAUUUUGUUCAGAAUUGGCGCUGUAUUAAAAAAAUGGAAAAAUAAAAUAGUUAAGCACAACUUGUUUUGACGAGGAGGAGAGGGCAGGCCAACAGUAAGGCAGGUGGCAAUGGGUGUUAUCAUCAGUGAUGUAACUUUUUGAAGGAGCAUUUCUAAGCUACCUCACGGAAUAAAUGAUAAUAAACAGAGGAUUAGCUAGACCACAAAACGGCAAACGAAUAAAAAAAGUGAUGGUUUAAAACCGUCACUGCAGUGUGUCCUCUGGUUGUUAUGGUAGUUUGGCGAGGGGAGGAAACCCAAUGAAGAAGAUGGCGAAAGGGGAGUCUUCUCUAUGUUAAACACGGGUGUAUUCGCCUUGUGGUUAAAGUCAAGUGUGGCUAAGGUACCUGGCUCUCUAAGGGGUUAGAGAGUGAGAGCACUGCUCCUGUGAUUAAAACGGUGGAGAACAGCCAGAGGGUGAUAGUUGGCACAGAUUGUGCUCCGUCUCCUCCCUCUCCGUUUCACCCUUCAUCCCUCUCCUCUCAGUGCCGGCUGUCAGUCACGUCAGUCAGUGUGCUAAUGAUGCUCCCGUACAGAGCUCAGAACCGAGCGAUACAUCUGCCGUGCCAGGAUAUCUCUCUCUUCAUGUGGGAGCACUUCACUAAUGGCCUACUUUGGUGCACUUUGGUUUUCACACACGAUAAGCAAAUUUACCAUCCAUAAACGUUCACUUUUUAGUGCAUUACACGGCCCCUUCGUGUCGUGCUUUGAUCAUGGAUGCCAAUUUUUUCUCACAUGCAGACACCAUGUUUGAUACAUAACAAACCAAUACCCGCACCUGCUGUUUAGUCCACAAUACAGCAUUGCUGGUAGCUCACAGUUACGUACGUGUCCAUAUGUCCAGUUCGUUAAAGGUGGUUGCUGCCACAUUUACACUUUCAGAUACAAUCUGACAGUGCGAGUCAUUUUCAUCUUGGAUCUUAUCAAAGGCGGAAAAAAUGCGCACGUCAAGGUUAAGAAGUAUUUAAUGAAAAAAGGUUCAAGUUUUUCAAUUUGAAACAUUUUACCUGUCCUGCUAGCUUUCACAAAAAUCUACAAAAACAUCUCUCUGUAUGCGAUUUGCUCACAUGGUUUAACCAGUUUAUCCGUCUGAAGAUAUUUAUAAAUUGUGCUAUUGUAACAAUGUGACUUGCACUUACAUGACCGCUCUGCAAGAGGAACUCUUAUUUAUUGUCAAUCUCUUCUACACGGACUCGCUGUUUGCUGCUGACAGCCUUUCUUCUGAAAAUGAUGUACGGAUGCUGCUGCUAUAGAGUAAACAAUUGCAGAUAUGCGCUGUUCAUCUGUCUUUGUUUUCCUACUUUUGUGUUGUAUCUGCUGUGAUUUGAAGCCUUUCCUUAUGACUCACAGAUUCACUCUCCUUUUGUCUUACAUUUACACCCUUCUCCUUUCCCCGUUUGUCUUCACCCCUCGGUUCACCCCUUUCAAAAGGUCAACAACAUUAGUGUUUGAAUUCUCCACGGCUGUUAUUCAUUUGACCUCACUAUCUGUCAGUACAGUGCCGCUCUCCCGGGUCAGCCACAUGAGACUCUUGCUUUGGUUGCAGGGGUCGAAGGGCAAAAUGGAUAUCCUUUCAUAUAGUUUUUUUUACCCCAUGACCCAGAAUUCUUUUUGCAUAUACGUGUAUGUGAGCCCUAUACCUUUGGCGUACACCAUUAGAGCCGUAUCAGGUUAUCAAAGGCUGCUGGGAGUGAUGAAUGGCUGCCAGGUGCGGAGGUCUAUGUGGUGGUCACCAAUGGUGAGGGCUGUUGGCUCUGCUGGCAGGGGAACAGAAAGGGUUAAGUGGCUGAUAUAGCCUUGUAGCCCAUGGCCUCCGGCAGUCGCUCAUCAGCUUAUUCCCCAGCAUCUCCGAGGGUCUGCAUGGAUGAGGUCUGGAGCUCAGGCAGGCAACUGGUGGGGGAAAUGGAGACGAGGCUUAAUUUCCUCCAGACAAGACGAGGGACUGUGGGAAAGGACGGGGGGUGAAGGGGAAAGGGCUCACAGGCUCUUUAGGCUUGCUUCCUUUCCGCCACCAGGCCUGCUGUCCUGGGCCAGCAGGACCAGCUUUGCGUCCAUCAAGAGCUUUGCUUUGCCCCUCUCCACAUCGCCGUCACACAGCCCUGACCACUGCAGAUUUAGCUUGUGAAUAAACCUGGUAGGUAUCAAAGGUGUGUGAUUCAGACCUUCCAGUAAUUACCAUUCACUCCCACAAAUCUCCCCAGAGUUCACUGGAAGGUCAUGUGGUGUAAAAGGAGGGGAGAAGAGGGAGCACAUGAAAGCGGCGCCGUUGCAUGCUGUCAUCAUCACGCCUGUUUCUAAAAGGUUCUCAGUCACUGAUGCGCGCGAGCCGAAGCACUCAAUAGCUGCGAAGAUCAAUAGUUUCCUGCCUCUGGUGCCGCCAUCAUAAAACGUUAUGGUUGGUCUCGUGGAAAAGAAAAGAGAGAAAAAAGUUGUCGAUGUUUUCCGUCUGUUAGCACUUCGCUUGCUAGGACAUUGAUGCGUCUUGUGGAAUCACCAUAACUGGACUUGAGAUGUUCCUCGACGAUGCAUCUUGCAAACCUCCCUAGUGGCAGAGAAUGGAUCACACAGUACCAGCCAAUCAGAGAGGCUUUCGGGCAGGACUUUGUGGAGGGGUCAAAGGUUUUAAAGAUGAAGUCUCCUGUUAGAGGAGGUGAAGGAAGAAUGUGUUACAGAUCAGGUGCUUUGUUUGGUGUCUCCGCUUGCUGUAAUUAAUUGAAAACAUUUGUCAGUGUGUUGACUUUUAAUGCGGUUUAUGGUAAUCGUCUCUUUCAAGUUUGUUUUUAGUUUGAAAAUGAAAUUCAGUCUUCUAUAAAUACUCCUCUCCAUCCAAAAAUAUAAAGACACUGGGGUUUUGCCACCAUGGCGUCAGAUGAAAAUCUCUGAUUCUGCUCAGCUGAACACAGGCUUCUACUCGUAUUCUAUUCAGACUGACACGGCAUCUAUAAAUAGUCGCAUUCUUAUCCUCUCUACCUCUAUUAUUCUCCCUCUCUGACUUCUGGCUUCCUCGUGUGAACCGGCAUGGGAUCGCCGCCCCCCCACCUUGGAAUUCAAUUUGCAGUCUCACUCCAUAUCCAAAACAUGGUCAGAGCUCUGUGUUCAGCGUGACCCGACAAGCAAGGACACCGUCUCAGCGUGGCUCUCCCCACAACCUCAUUAUAGCUGUGCCCUCAAGUAACAGAUUUAUCCUUAAUUGGUGAGUUGUCCUAAUUGACUUUAGCUAAUUUAUGGUUUUGAUUAUUUUUACCCCCUCUCCUAAUUGAACCAUACAUUUUGGUUGUUUCCCUUGCUGGCUGAGUCGUGAUGCUGUGAGUUUUUAAGGGCUGUACGGACGGUGAAGGUUUUCCACCGUCACAAUCACUUACGUACGACAUCCAUAAUGAAAAGGAUACAAAUAAGUGCAACGGGGAGGAAAAAAAGCGAUAAUUAUGUAAGAAACAGCUCAUUUCUCAGGCUGGUAGUCCAACCUAGGAAUUAAAGGGAGUCUACCAAAAGCUUGAAAUGUUGAAUGGUUCUAUUUUCUUGGGGCCCUUUAGUACCAAUUGAGCAUUGUUUAAAUGCCGCGGCCUUCGUUAUUAUUGCUGACCAUGUCCAUCCCAUCUUCAUGACAAUGGGUUCACUGUACUCAAAUGGCCUCCACACUCACCACAACUCUCCACCACCUUUGGGGUUUGGUGGAACGGGAGAUUCGCAUCAUAGAUGUGCAGCCAACAAAUAUGCAGCAACUGCGUGAUGCUAUCAUGUCCAUAUGGACCAAAAUCUCAGCUUGUUGAAAGUAACCACGAAGAAUUAAGAAGUUUUGAAGGCGGGUCUGACCUUUUGCGAAGAAAGUGUACCUGAUAAAGUGUUCUUCACUACUAAAUAACUUUUAGCAUGGUGGGAAGGAAGAUAUUUUAUCCAUCUGCAUAUUAUCAGUUAGAUGUGUGUUCCUGCAGGUAGUUUAGAGAAAAGUAAAAGAAAAAAAGGUUCCUACUCAACGUGGACAUGUAGAUAACAAGCCUGGGGCCUGACUGCAGCUGUUGGUCGAUUCAACCACCUACCUUUUGUGCCGUUUGUGAUAUACUUUGCAUUUUUUGUUGAUUUAAGUUUUGCAUAUAUUAUAGAGACAGCCAACGCUCUGUCAUUACAUUUAUUUUUACAGAGUGGCAGAAAUAGAAAUACGGCUAUAAAUUCAACUUUAAUUGUAUGCACAGCAGUGUCAGUUCAACCCCCCAAAAUUACAUAAACAUGGGGAAUACAAGUGACCCGCCCACUGGGUAUAGCAAUAAGUCUCGGGGAAUAGAAAAUUCUUUGUCAUGUUGUGUGCUUCCUUCUGUCACUUUAUUUCUAUAUGUAUCGUAUGUUAGUGCUAUUUUUUUUUUGGAGUCUGAGCGUGCAUUAGGUGUGUGCGUUUGUGUGCGCGUGUGUCCAUGAUGGAGAGGAGGUUGAGACGUGUCAGGGAUGAAAGUGCCGCAUCCCUCCUCGGGGCUGUCAGCCUGUUACCAGGUGUCACUUCAACUCAUCUCGCCCACCUGCUUUCCAGCCUCCGCCAGACCGCUGCCACACACACACACACACACACACACACACACACAUGCAGACGAGGGGUGGUGAGUGUGAACAAGAAAGGAGAGUGAGGGAAGAACACAGAGUUGGAGAAGGAAUGAGCAGAUACUGUACCAUAAAAAGCCAGUGCCUAAGUGAUGGAUUAAGUGAUGUGUACUGUUCCGUGGCGUAUGAUCACCAGUACAAAAACAAAUGCCAUGCAGUAAUCGCCACAAUGUACCUAUGACUUUACUUCUAUUCUCCCUCACAGGUUAAUAUAAUUAAAUUAGUCAUUCUCAGACUCUUGGCUGCUGUAAAAGCUGAUGUAAAUCAAACUCAAAGUAUCCUGUAGAUGUUUCACAAUAAAAGGCUUCCGGCAAACGAAAAGGAUGAUGUUCUCUCUCACGGGGUGCUGAGGGGGCUGUAAUUUGAAACAGAUGGAGGAAGUGUCGAAUUUGCAUUAGCGGCAAACGGCAACAACAAUGAAUUAACAUGGCAAAUGGGGGCGACAUCAGUCAGGCUUCUUACAUAAACAUAAUCAGAUUUACAGGAAUUUGGAAUGAAUGUCUGUAAUAAUAGCCUGUUUGUCUCUUUUGUUGAGGUGAAUAAAUGUCCCGGCCUCUACUGGCGAUAAGCAGUUAGCACUAUUUUAAGUGGUUGAUACCAUUGUAGAAUCAUCUUUAAGUCUUGUCUUGCAUAACCCACAUCAGCCAGUCAACAUCCUAAAGGACGUUGAGGUUUUGAUUCCAAAACAAUCUUAACGAGUUUGCAUUGAAGUAUUGAAGAGCGAGACCAGGCUUCACCACACUCGUGUUCUGUGUUUGCCUGUGGAGAACAGAGAGGGUGGCUGGGGAGAGACCCAGAUUAGGCUGCACUGGAUGAGAGUGGCAGAGAGAUGUUGAGGAGGAAGGGUUCGAUAUCAAGAGCCAAUUCCCAUUUGGAAGCGAUAAGGAAAUAAUUGGAAUUGAUGACGGUAUGCCAUAAGUUGACAGACGUCAAUAGCUCCUGAAAUGCUCCGUUGUUGUUGGCUACUGUUUGGGUGCAGCAUUGGAGCCGCUCUCACUAAAUUUAUGGAGGAACUUGGAGACAGCAGUUUGUAGUAACUCACAAGAUCUGUUGACUCCAUCAGACAGGUGGUCUCCAGCAGAGGCCGGGCCCAUCUGCAUUUUUGGUACCUUCAAUUCCAAGAACGAGGUUGUCUGCUGGAAAAUGGUGAACUGCUCCCUCAGAGUUACCGAGAGGGUUACCGCCCUGGGUUUGGUACGGCGUUCUGGUAAGUGAAGCCAAAGCUGACAUCACUGAAAGUAAUUGCCGUUGUCUUUGCUGAAGCAUGAUGAUCCCCUUUAGUUGAAAAUAGUUUGUAAAGCAGGGGAUGCUUGAGGGUGUAGCUACAUUAACAUUUUAUGUUUGGAGUUUAGUUUUCACCUUAGAACCCUUUCACAGUAUGUUUUCUGAUCACGAAAGUUAAUUGUGACCUUUUUGCUGACUAAAAAUCUCUUAUUGAGCAUUCGGUUAUUGUUGUCUCACCAGACACUUCUGGAUGCAAAAAAUCCCCAAACUCUUCUUUACAGACACUGGUCAGACGUGAUGCGUUCGUUGUACUGGGAUUUAUUAGUCGAGAGGAAUAUGAGACUGGUUUUACUGGUCCGGUUAGGCUAGUGACCUAAAUGGGCUUCCUCCAAACCUCUGGGACCCUUGUCUGCUUGCUAUAACACAAUAAAUAUCUAACCAUUUAUCUUCAAUCUUUCUCUUAUCAAUGCCCCUCUAGUUAACUGAAAUGGUUUUAAAUCAACAGCAGAAGACUAGAGGAGAAAACUAGAGAACGGCACUUGUUGGUGGUGUUUUUCCUAUUGAUAAAGGCUUAGUAGUCUCUUAGCUUGGAGCUCUCGGUUUCCCAUUGUCGGUCUCUAACUAGUUUCUGUGGCUCUCUCUCGCUCUCUCCCAAAUCUGUACCCUUGUUAACACAGGGGAUUUUGCGCAGAGAGAUCAUCAGGUUUGUUUUCUCCUCUCCUCCUCCUCUUCUACACAUUCACAACAAUAAAAACUUCCCUACGAGUACGACCAAAAUAGACGAUAUGAGAACGAGAAGGAUUGAGACACCUCACAGCUAUUUGCAGAGCUUCAGAUGCUGACAGCCCUUUAUCAUUAGCUUUCAUACAUCUGUCUUUCCAGAGAAGCAUUUUAUAUUCUGAGCCAGGCUCCGUGUGUGUGUGUGGGGGGGGGGACUAAAUCAAUUCCAAAUUAUUGCACCUCUCAAUAACUGAUGGCCAUGUCUAGGUGGAGGAAAAAUGAUUAAUGAGGAUACUAUGGACAAUACGAGUAAGACACACACCGAGACAUUAUCGGCUGCAUGCCGACAGACACACAGUGGGACCGCGUGUGCGUCCACACUCGCUGAUGGUGAUUGCUGUGGGCAAAGACGCAUCACUGCUCCGGUUUGUGCUGAGGGAGUAGUGUGUGUGUGUGUGUGUGUGUGUGUGUGUGUGUGUGUGUGUGUGUGUGAGAGAGAAUGUAUGAAGUAGGUGAACGGGGUUAAUCGUAGUUUAGCUAAGAGUAAAUAAACAUUGUGUAACCCAGCAAUGCGAAAGCCAUCAGAAUGAUUCAACACGUUGUCAUGAAUAAGGAUGCAUCAGGUGCGGCGGACGAGCAACACGCAUAUUUUCACCAUCUAAUUUUUGAGGGUUUGUAGUUUUUUCAACAAUUGGUCAGCAGGGGUGGAUUUAGGGCGGUACGCUCCGAUACUCUCCACCAAUCAAAUAUUGGAGGCACCAGGAAGACGAGGACAGCAGCUGCCCACCAAACUAAACGUCACAAUCCCGUUUCAACGCGAAAACACAUCUGCUGAUGUUAGGUCAACGUGCAAGUAUUUACCUUCAUCAUCAUUGCCGGAGCGACGAUACAGCAUCUGAUCCGCAUUCAUGUAGUUUCAGAAUGCUCAAAGGGUCAAAUGAAUGAUGUCCACAUUACAACUUAAAGCUCACGACCCCCGAAAUCGAGAGUGGGACCCUGCAAGGUGCACAUGAAAGCAUUAAUGUCUGCGCGCUCUCAGUAGCCAUUCUACCUUUCCUGAUAAGUGCUUUUAAAUUG
ensembl:lncRNA